GACGAACGCUGGCGGCGUGCCUAAUACAUGCAAGUAGAACGCUGAAGGAGGAGCUUGCUUCUCUGGAUGAGUUGCGAACGGGUGAGUAACGCGUAGGUAACCUGCCUGGUAGCGGGGGAUAACUAUUGGAAACGAUAGCUAAUACCGCAUAAUAGUAGAUGUUGCAUGACAUUUUCUUAAAAGGUGCAAUUGCAUCACUACCAGAUGGACCUGCGUUGUAUUAGCUAGUUGGUGGGGUAACGGCUCACCAAGGCGACGAUACAUAGCCGACCUGGGAGGGUGAUCGGCCCACAUGGGACUGGGACACCGCCCAGGCUUCUACGGGAGGCAGCAGUAGGGAAUCAUUGGAAAUGGACGGAAGGCUGACCGAGCAAAGCCGCGUGAGUGAAGAAGGUUUUCGGAUCGUAAAGCUCUGUUGUAAGAGAAGAACGAGUGUGAGAGUGGAAAGUUCACACUGUGACGGUAUCUAACCAGAAAGGGACGGCUAACUACGUG
rnacentral:rRNA from 1 species